ensembl:lncRNA
GGGGGGAGACAUACUUCCAUCCUCGAUGUGAAUCUCCUGGAGGCUGAGCAAACCUCCUUCUCCACUUCACACACUCUACACGCGCAAUCUUCACCGCGGACUGCUCACUCUUCACCCGGGAGUGCUCACCCCUUCACCCGGGAGUCAACCCGCUUCCUCAAGAGGACCACCGAGUUUAACAAUCGGCGGGACACAAGAACUUUCCGCCGGCAGAGUUCCCGUCUGUCCGCACUACACGGUCCGUCCUCCCGGAGCAGGUCGGGCUGAGGCUCGCUGGUCGGAGAGAUGAUACUAGUCUGCCCCUCCCUGCUCCUGGCUCUCUGUCUGCUGGGCUCCGGGACCGGUGGUCCUCCGACCCGGGGCUCCCCGCCCAGGGCGAGUCUGGGUCAGCUGGAGCGUUGGGGGCGGAGCGCCGUGCAGUACCUGAAGCUCCAGCGGUGUCGCCGCGUGGGCUCCUCCCCGGCCGUGGGGGGCUGCAGGCCUGACGGGAUGCAGCUCCUUAACGCCGCCCUGUACGUAUCGGAGCUGGUCACCCACCUAGGAGCUCCAGAAAAGGUGGUGGCCCUGCUCCCGGACUCCUCGGACCCCACGGGGCUGGGGGUCUACAGAGCGGGGGGCGGCCCUCGGCCCACGGCAGCCCACGACGCGGUCCUGCUAGUGGAUCCAAGCCCCGGGGAGAACUUCGGCCAUCCUGUGGUUCUGUUUUACGUGGACAUGAACGUGACCAAGAAACGCUGUUCGCUCAUGGAGGGCCUUUACUUCGGGGAGGAGUGUUUGACUCUGGCAUUGAAGGGUCGCUGUCAGAACCAGUUGAAGCGUCGUUCGUCCACGUCCCAGCGGUUGCUUAGAAACCUUGAGCGGAGGGCAGGGCCAUGUGAGGUCACCUUCCUUCCCCUAGUGGUUGGACUGAGAGACAGCAACAAAACACAGAGACUCAGGUGUAUCGAGCACCCUGAGUUUGGGCCGUGCCCCCGGACCCUUCCCCCACCCCCCCCCAUCCAGCAGUUGUCCAGCUGUGAGCUGAACAGAAACACCCGGCGAUGCCACCACCCCCCUCUGGCCUCCCAGGGCUCCUGCAGGCUGUACCAGACCUGCGACCACGCCCUGCUCCUCUCUGGAGGCUGGCAGCAGCAGAUCCUGUUCCAGCACCAGCUGCAGUCCCUCCAGAAGUUCUACGGGAUGCUGAGGGAUAACGGCUUCCACCAGGACCACAUCAAGACCUUCUUCUCUGGCCCCGGACACACUCCUGAGGGCAUGCAGGGCGCUCUCCCAGCGGUAGAGAAGGCUGUGAUUCGUCAGUACGUGUCCUAUGUGUGUAGGAAGCAUCACUGUGUGGACUCUCUGGUCCUCUUCCUCAACUCCCCAACGUGUACUGACGGCUCCAUGCUGCUCUGGGACCACAACCUCAACGGCAUAGCAGAGCUGAAGGAGCGCUACUCGGUGAACGAACUGCUGGUAGACCUGGCGGGCUGCAGGGCAAGCCGGGUCCUGGUGUUCGUGGAGCAAAGCUACAGCUCCGUCCUCUCCAAGAGGCUGCGCAGCUCCUCCAAACACCUCAACGUGGUCCCAAUCAUCAGCCCCGCCCAACAGUACCCUGACCCAGGAGAGGGGUCCUGGAAACACCUGACCCCAAGAACCUGCCUCAUAGAUCACCUGGGAAAGGGUCAAGAGAAGUCCGGCCUGCUCUCUCUGUGGGCAGGGCUACUGAAUGUGACGCUGGCGGGCGCACCCUGCAAGGCCACGCCCCCUCUAACCGACGCCCAGCUGCAGAGGGAAUACCUGGGCUGUCAGAACCUGCCCACUGCGCUCUGGUACCAUCACCGGACCUGAGAGGGGGAGGGAGAGAGAGAGGG